GUGUGAGGGAGGGAGGAGGGUCCAGACAACGUUGCCAUCAUCACUUACACUCAGUUACCUCCGGGAGUCACACGAUUGGGGCUGUCACUCUGAGCUCUACGCUAUACUCCACGUUUCUUAUACGGACGGUGACGCGAAGAUGGAAGAUGCAGGACACGAUGAGCACAAGACUGGUUUCUACUGGUGAACGGGACUCUUGGUGCAUCACAUCAGAAACCUGACUGUCUACUAUAACCAGUUAAGCCAAUCAGCAGCGAGUUCCAAAAACCGGGCAUUGCUUUCGAACUGCGCGGUGAUUGGCCAGUUGCCGCCUUCACUUCAGCCAAUCAGCAGCGUUUCUCAUCUUUGCACCUCGACCCGUGAUCCGGCAGAAUAAUAUAAGUGCCCCCCUGCCUCGCCGUGAGGGCAGACAACACCACGCUCUUAAGCGAAGACCUCCUUUAAAGAAGCUCCUUCACGGCAACUCUACAACGCAGUAACUUCCCAGCACCUGACUGCUCUGUACAUAUAAUAUAUAUAUAAAAAUCGCCA
rnacentral:lncRNA from 1 species